UACGUAGGUGGCAAGCGUUGUCCGGAUUUACUGGGUGUAAAGGGCGUGCAGCCGGGCUGACAAGUCAGAUGUGAAAUCCCGCGGCUCAACCGCGGAACUGCAUUUGAAAAUGUCAGUCUUGAGUACCGGAGAGGUCAUCGGAAUUCCUUGUGUAGCGGUGAAAUGCGUAGAUAUAAGGAAGAACACCAGUGGCGAAGGCGGAUGACUGGACGGCAACUGACGGUGAGGCGCGAAAGCGUGGGGAGCAAACAGG
rnacentral:rRNA from 1 species